UGUUAUUAUCAUCAUGGUCCCUGUUUGAGGUAGGAUAUUUCAUUUCUCCUCUCCAGGUUUGUCAUGGGUAAAAGUGUUCAAAUUGGCAAAAUCUGUUUUUAUAAUUAACUACCUCCUUUUAUUGUACCUGACUGGACAUCAAAGGAAACCGGUAAAGGAACAUAAAUCCAAGUACUUUCCUCUGGAGAAGGAACCUUCACUGACAAUUUAAACUUAAGAAAUUAAAGUAGGGUUACUGAUUAACUCCCUUCUGUGUCAUAUCAGAUAAGAAGAAGGUGUAACUCCUAGUGGUAGGCAAUAACCUUGUGCAAUAGGAUCUGGGAUAGAGAUAGAACUAUUUAACUUUUUUUAAAAAUAGGGGCAAAUAGCCCUCAUUCCCGAAACACUGUGUUACAUUAUUGCAGUGAUGGCAGGAAAUCAUCAAGAAAAGGUUUAUAUAAUGUUUCCUGUUCUCCUGUUCCAGAUGAGUAUAUCACAACUAUUUAAAGUAAAAAUGUGGUGCUUCUAAGGCUCAUAUUUUUAUUCAAGUUAGUUGUUUCUUGCAUUGUGUUCUCUUAACACAGGAUGGCUUGCCAGCCUGAGCGUGAACAGAUCACAUUGGAACUGGUAACUUCUUUGUUUUCAGCCUACCCUGAAUCCGCUUAAAAAAGAAUAAAAGUCUUCUUCAGCUCAGGCCCAGUAUUUAUUUAUUAUUUCAUCUCCAGUGCCUGGUGCCUGGCACUCAGAAGAUAGUAGGUCUACACCUUUGUGGUAUUUCCUGUCUGCUUACAAGUGUGCUUAUUAUGUGGUGGGCAGUGAAGUCUGGUAGAUACAGGUUGAGGAGUCACAGCACUUGGGUUUCAAGUCUUGCUAUCUUUUUUUUUUUUUUUUAACCAACAAUUAUUGAGUGGUUCCCAGAACUCAAUAAUUUAGACCCACAAGUGUGGGUUGUGUGUAGUUAGGUAUACUCAUUUUUAAGUGCUAAGUUGGGUCUCAUAAACAUCAAUGAGAUGCUGUUUAUUAAAUGAACAUUUUCAUUAAAAAAAAUAGAGCAGAAUGAAAUACUCUUUAAGGUCAGUAGUUUUUUAUGUGUAUGUAAAAUCCUGCCUUAAAAUGCAUUCCCUGAUGGGGCGCCUAGGUGACUCAGUCGGUUAAACAUCCACCUCUUGAUUUUGGCUCAGGUCCUGAUCUCACAGUUCAUGAGUUCGAGCUCAGUGUUGGGCUCUGUGCUGACAUUGAGGCGCCUGCUUGGAAUUUUCUCUCUCCCUCUCUUUCAGCCCUUCCCCUGCUCACUCUCAAAAUAAAUAAACAUUAAAAAAAAAUGCAUUCCCUGAAUAAAAGAUGAAAGCUUUUAGAUACUUUUUGAAAAUCUAUUUCAAUUAAGCAUUCUGUUAUAUAUGUAUAUGAUUUGCAUAAGUUUGUAUUGUAUGAGUCUACACUUUGUGUCUGCCUUAGUCAUCCCUGCAAAUUGGAACAUGUCCAUAUUGGUUGACUAUAUGAGACAAUUUCUCAUUAUUUGUGAGCCUUUAGUUUAAGUCCCAUAUAGAUUGGAAGUCUCCCCUGACUUCUUUAUUCUCUCCUGUCAUACCAAGGACGGUUACUUCUAGGGCUGGAACACAAGACAGGUUUCAGAGACCUAAGGAAUCAGUGACUUGGAGUUGGGGAACCGACGUGCAGUGGGUUUGAGAGAAACUAGAAGAAGGCAGAGAGAAGAAAGGGGAGUGCUAUCAGUUUAUGACUUUUCAAAGUGUUGAGGAAUGUUCUUGCUCGCAUGUUUAUGUCCUAAAAAGAAAGAAAGAGGGACUAGUGAAGGGCGAUUGGUUUUGGCAUCAGGUGCUAUUUGAAUACCACUCUGGUGUUCACAGGUAGAGACCUUGAACAAGCAAGUGACGCCUCUGGACUUCAGUUUCGUCAUGUUUAAUUGGGAAUAACAAUGUCUAACUUGCACUCUUGGUGUAGAUUAUAAAUAAUACAUCUGAAAUGACUAGCAGGGAUCCUGGAGCACAUUACUAUUGCAUUUAUUAGGUGGCCGGGACUACUGUUGCUGGAUUAGCAUUGAGCUGCUUUUUAUUUUGCUCACUGUUUACAUCUAGCAGGUAAUAGCGUUAUUAGUUAUGGCCUAAAUGUGGCUUUUGUCAGAGCUAUUUGCCCAACUUGGCUGAAACUUUUACUUGACUUAAGACAGUCUCACUCUGUAUUUUCUACUGUACUUUUUUUUUUUUUUUUUGGCGAGGGGUGGGGAAGAAAAGACCUGAGUAUGCUUUACAUGGUAACAACUAAGAAUUGUUGUUUUUCAUUUUGACAAGUAAGUGUUUUUAUUUUAUCAUUGAGGACAGAAUGUUUUUUGCUACUUUUGCCAGUCAGUGCUUUGUGACUUUUGUAGCUUUGGAAGUCAAAGUUAUAUGUAAUACAACUUUACUGGAAGAGAAAAGUGGCAAACUGUAUCUUCCUUUUGAGCACUGUUAUUUAAAGUGAAUUUAUUUUGGGGCACCUGGAUAGCUCAGUCAGUUAAGUGUCAUCUGAUUCUUGGUUUUAGCUCAGGUUGUGAUCUCACAAUUUGUGAGUUUGAGCCCUGCAUUGAGCUCUGUGCUGACAGCGUGGAGCCUGUCUGGGAUUCUCCCUCUCUCCCUCUCUGUGCCCCUCUCCCGCUCGCUUGCUCUCUCUCUCUCUCUCUCAAUAAAUAAAUAAAUAAAUAAAUAAAUAAAUAAACAAACAAACUUAAAAAAAAACCUUUAAAAAUAAAGUGAAUUUAUUUUGAUAGAAUUUUGAAAAUUUAUUUGAAGAAAUUAAAAUUUUUAAAAAUACAUAACAUUUGUGGAAUGUCUACCUGUUCAGGUGCUGUGCUAAGCACGUUACAUGCAUUUUCUUAUUUAACAGUGACAUGAGCACUUUAACGUAAGUGAGCAAUCUGAGGCUCAAGGGGUUAGUUAACUUGCUAAUGUCAAGAUCAAAUCUAAUGAAACUGAGCUUUGAACCCUAACGCAACUUCCCAGCCGUGUUCUUUCCACAGUACUCCAUUGCCCUCAAAAUUAUUUUAGUGUUUCUCAUGACAAUGUUAAUGGUUUUGAGAAAGUAGGUUAGGUGGGUUGUCACAUGAAGAGUCAAGAUAAAAUUUAGAAUCAGAAAUACCAGUGUGAUUAUUUGAUGCAGCAUUUCCAGAGUGUAGGACAUUUGCUGCUGUUACAGAAAGGAGUUUUGGUUGAUUUGGAGUUGAUUUUAGGUAGUAUCCAGAUGCUGCAUUAAAUAAUGUUGAAUCAUAUAAUAAAGACCUCAGAUUCUUUUGAAUUUGCUUUCAGUGUUUUCUUGACAAGUCAAGUAGAAACUCUCAGUUUCAUGCUAGAAUCUCUCUCAUAGAUAUAGUUACCCAUUUGUUUUUCUCAAAGAGAGCAGACUAGGACUACCAACAGUUUGAUAGCUAGAAUCUAAUAAUUGUUUUUUUCAUAUUAUUAUGUUUAAAUUUUACAGUCACUGUCCAUUAAUGCCAUGUAAAUCAUAUUUUUCAUUUACAAGGUAGUAGUGUAUUUUUUUUUUUUUUAGUAAGUUUGUUUUAGGGGAAAAUGUGAAAUUUGUCAACCCAAAGUGCCUAUACAGGUUUUGCAUACAUAAAGUAAGUCAUGUUUGAGUACCUGAGUGUCUGUAGUUCAGGACUGCAUUAACCGAUUGACUCAGAUACAGACAUUGAAUUUUACAGUUAAGAAAACAGUCUUGAAGCAGAUGAAUCAUUUAUCAUGUAUCUCAAGCUAAGCCCACGUGUCCUGUGUUCUGACUUCCAGUACCACAUAGCAUUCCCCUACCGUGCUCUCCUGUCACUGGAGACCAGCACACUCUUCUCAGUUCCAGCAGAAAUGGGCGUUGCUAUUUUUAAACAAUGCUAUGUAUUUCUGAAUGGCAUAUUUGUGUUCUUUGUUUUUAUUGGCCAGUGGGUGCCUAUCCAGAGGACAUGCCAGUUAUAUUGGCUUUUGCUAAUAAACCUCACUAAUAGCCUGGAGGGAUGUGGGCAUGAAAUAAAUUGCUCUUUAAAAUAGUAUGACAUUUUUAAAAAUAAUGCCUUAACUGUUUUUCAUAUAUAAAAUGUCACAAUAUGAUAGACUGUGAAUAGAAAAGUAAAAAACAGGCUGUCAUUCUGAAGGAUAAGGCAUUAUGGAACAUUUGAAUGACACUGUUUCUGUUGAGAGUGAGUUGAAGAAAAAAUAUAUAAUCAUUUUAGGAGAGCUGAACAUUUCAUUUCCCAUUUCACAUGCCAUUUAAAUCCCUUCUUUAAGUGGAACUUUGUUAUAAACAACAACAAAAAUGUGUAAAUCAAGAUAUUUAAGAGAGCUUUGACAUUGUAUGGUCUCAACACCAGCUAUGAUGCUAUGAAAUAAAUAUUCUAAACAGAUUAAAAUUGGAUGGCUGUUGCUUCUGUAUUUGGUUAGCAUUUAUUUAGUUUUACAUCAGUGAGAUUAAAUCUAUAAUCUAUUAAUCUCUCAAUCUAUUAACACACAUGAAUUCUUAACAGGAUUUUAUAUCCUUUUGAAAGGUUUGAUGCUAUAAAACAUGUUAAUUUGCACUGAUGUCAGGCAUCAUUUUCAUUAAAAGAUGAAAAAUAAAUGGUCUUCACUAUAUAGGUGAGCAUCAGCUCUAAAUCCAGAAGUCAUCUACGUUUGACCUGGGUGUGAGUGGGGCUCCUCAGGUAUAGUUCCUCAAAUAUAGUUCCUCGUCAUCUGUAGAUCUGUGAAACUAUGGAGUCAGGAUAUCUGACCUCAACACAACCAACAUACAGCAAUGAUGCAGGCAUAAGAUACCUGCAUGUUCUUGGUCAAAAAAGAAUAAGAUUUGUGGUAGGUAAGAGUCACUGGUCCAUAGCAGUUCUGAAAUCCUGCUAAGCAGAAGUUUCUUGAUGAAGUUUCCAGAGUUGGGGAUAAUUCUCCAUGGCUCUUCAUUCUACUCCUUGGGCUAUUGGCUCCCCUCUCUGAGUCGUCUUUCCCUUCUUAUGAAAGGUGGCACGUGUUUUGCAGCUGAAGUUUUUGUUUUUAAUGUGUAUUUUUGAGAGAGACCACAAGUGGGGGAGUGGCUGAGAGAAAGGGGAACAGAGGAUCCGAAGUGGGCUCUGAGCUGACAGCAGCGAGCCCGAUGUGGGUGUUGAAUUCACUAACAAGUGAGAUCAUGACCUGAGCCGAAAUUGGACACUCAACCAGCUGAGCCACCCAGAAGCCUUGCAGUUGUUUUCUCAGCCUGCUUCCUGCCGGUAGGAUUUGGGGGAUUUAUGGCGGUUUUUCAUUUAGCACAGUCUGUUCCUUUCAUUCUAAAAUGGCAGAGUUCCUGCUGAUAAAAUCCUCUUAAAGCUUUUGUCAGUCCCCUUUGAAACUCGUUAGGGUUUACUCAGACAAAGAUCAUACCCCCGUAUUUCUUAGAGAUAAAUCUUUCUCUACCUUGGGCUUCUGCUGAGACAAGGGAUAGGCAGUGCCCUUUAACUUUCCAAAGGCCUACUGAAAGGAUCGCGGAGUCACGGUCUUAAGCUUUUAAGAGACCCUGUGGUACAACUGAAAAGCUCAUUAGGAGGCUACAUUUCCAAGGUCUUAACAGGAAUUUCUGAAGCCACACUCUCUGUCUCAUCUUUAUUUUAUUUUUAUUUUUUAAAUGUUUAUUUUUGAGAGAGAGUGUGAGUAGGGGAGGGGGAGAGAGAGAGGAUCUGUCAGAGGCAGAGGAUCCGAAGUAGGCUCUGCACUAUCAGCACAAAGCUUGAUGUGGGGUUUGAACUCACGAACUGCGAGAUCAUGACCUGAGCUGAAGUCAGAUGCUUAACCAACUGAGCCACUCAGGUGCCUCUCUGUCUCAUCUUUAGACCAUUUUUUUUUCCUGGCAGUUCCUUGGAAUUAAUCUUUGUGUGGGAGCUGUUUCUUAGUAUUGUUUGCUGUCCAGAGAUGCUGAGAAUUUUCAAAACCAUCGAGUGGUUUGAAAACCAUCAAUUUUCAAAGCCUUCUUUUGGUUUAGUGGUCCUUCCCUCAAUUUAUCAUCCCCCAGUUUACUCUAAGAAGAAACUAGGUAGCAUCUCCAGCACUUUGCUGGGAAAUCUCCACAGCUAAAUUACCCAGUUCGUGCGGCACAUUUUUUAUUUCUCAUACAACUGCAAGUGACCACAUACGGGUCAUGUAACUAUAUAUAAGUGUGGGUAUUGUUACACCUUCCACCACUACAUAAUUUACAAUUUCCAAGAAAAUUUUCUCAUUUUUAUUUACACCCUUCCUAGCAAUCUCUUCAAAGUCCAAAAUUCUGUGAAUAGAAUUUUUAAAGCACUUUACAUGUUGACUCAUGCUCUUAAGUCCCAUCACACAGUUCUGAAGCUGUUCCCACCUUUCAGAUUUUUGUUAUUGCAGCACCCUACCUCCAAAAUCCGUAUCGGUUAUCCUGUUGCAUAGCAAAUUAUCCGCAAACUGAAUUGGCUUAGAACAAAAAAUGUUAUCUCACAGUUACUAUAGGAAAGGAAUCUGGGCUUAGCUGGAUGAUUUUUUUAAAGAUAUCUCAUGAUGUUGCAGUAAAGCUGCUGACCAGGGUUGUAGUCAUCUCAGAAAUUAACUGGGGUUGAAGGAUCUGCUUCAGAAUUCACUAAUGUGAUCAUUGGCAGGCCUCAGAAGAUCCGCUUUUAAUCUUGCUCAUCUGGGCCUUUCCAUAGGACUUUCUGCAGUUCCACUGUGGAACUUAAAAAAAAAAAAAAAAUGAAAGCUGCUUCCCCCAG